rnacentral:rRNA from 1 species
UCUGGUGAUUAUGGCUUGAAGGUAACACCCGUUUCCAUGCCGAACACGAAGGUUAAGCUUCAAAGAGCUGAUGGUACUGCAGGGGAGGCCCUGUGGAAGAGUAAGUCGUUGCCAGAU